CCGUCCCGCGGCCCCGGCCCUGCUCGCUCCCGCCGCCCACCCCGUCCUGCCCGCGGCUCCAGUUUGCUCCCGCCCGGCCAAUGCGGCCCCGGCAAGCUGAGGUCCCCCGGCAGCGGCGGGGAAACGCCCCUUCCUCCCCUUCCUCCCCUUCCUCCCCGCCCUCCUCGCUCACCGGGAGCCUCCAGGCGGUGUCCGAGCCCCGGGAUUCCGGGUAGAGCUUGUCCAGGCUGUAGAUGCUCUGGAACUCGGGGCCGUCCGUCUGCUUGUGCAGAGCCCGCCGGGGGCAGCGCGCGGACGACGGGAGCAGCCAGGCCCCGGCUCGUUUCAGGCCCCAGCGCAGGGACGCGGCGGCCGCCAUGUUCGGGUCUCCGGGCCACUUCCGGUGGGCGCUUCCUUCCGCGUCCCGCCGAGCCUGUUUCCCUCGGGACUUCAGUUCCGCGCGGCUGUCAGUUCCCGCCCGGGUCGCAGAGAGGCGGCGAGCCGCGCCCCCGGGCCGCUGUCCCCGGCAUCUCCUCCGGGAGGCAGGGUAGGAGCGCGGAGGCCCGCCGCGGCGGAGGGAAACACGUUGUCCGGCCAGAGGGCUCUCAAGAAGAACCCCCGGAAUCCGUGUCCCCCCGAAACAUCACUUCUCUCCUUUUCUGGGGCUGCGCCCUUCUCCAGGACCGCUCUCCAUCAUUGAGGCCCGCCCCGCCUGGCCUAUCUACUGCCUGACUCCAAUCAGAAUAUAACAAGCUCCAGGAGGGCACUGGCUCGCUGCUGGGUCUGCAGUACCCAGAACCUGGCACAUCAUACGUACUCAAUAAAUGUUUCCAGGCAGAGGGAGAAACAGGCUCCAUGCAGGGAGCCUGAUGCGGGACUCAAU